CUACUUGGAAGAUCUAAAUCCCUACUUUGCACCAUCAUUGAAGAUGAUGUCACUUCACGUCAUUCACUCAUUAAUGAAUGGAAUUUGUUUGUCAAGGAUUUUGAAUGAUCAUAUUUAAGUACAAUCUUACCAACAUCAUCUAACUUCAUCAAAAAAAUAUUACCUUUUAUUGGUGGAUUUAAAAUCUCUUGUUUCUUUUCACCUAACAUCAAGAAAAGUCCAUUGUACAGCCAUGAGAACACAGCUUGAGAAGUCUGGGGAA
rnacentral:lncRNA from 1 species